UUUCUCUCUGUGCUGGCAGUAGUUAUCAGCCGCACCACCGAGUGAUUUUAUUUAUAUAUUUUAUUUCCCCUUUUUUUUUGGAAAACCAGUGAAAGUCACCUCAUAAUUUAGAAUAUUAAAGGAUCCGCCAGUUCUAGUCGGCCUUGGGAUCCUAAGGGAAGCUAAGUGCUUAGAAAACCCUCCUCCUACUGCUCAGACACCCUCCACACUCUGAAAUUACCCCAACCGGCUCAUAAUUGGGACCAGCUGGCAGGAUGAGAGAGGAGGCCCCUGCCCCGAGCCAGGAAUCGCGUUGCAAAUUUCAUCCCUAGAAAGAAGCUUGACUUGCUCCUUUAAGGGUUAAGAGGACCAAGUGUAUGCGAAAUAGCCCAGGCGACCCUGCCGGGCUACGGCCUCCGCCGAAUUUCACUUUACAGCCUGUCUUUCCAGAACUGGCAUCGUUAAUUUGUAUGCUGCCCGAAAGCUGUCCUUUUCCCAAAGCCCUCCUCACAAAGCAGAUGCAGACCUCCAGAAGUGCACCGGAAAUAGGAGUCAAUUUCAAGUGUCAGAAACCAAGACCCCUGACUGGUUCGGCAUCUGUCCCUGCAAGACUUAGAAAACCAACCCUGUGCUUAAGAGGGAGAAGUAGAGAUGAAAGAUGAAAGACGGAGCAGCGGAAUCAAGAGAAGGAAUUAGCAGAACAGGGUGAGGCAUCGUGGAAGCGUGGGGAGAAGGAAGGAGAGUCACGGUCGAGGGAGGAGUGGGGGGGGGAAGGCAAAGAAAAGAAUUGGCAAGUAACAAAGACCAGCCUAGAAGAGGUCUCUCACCUUGCUAACGCUAGUAAUAGGAGCCUUGAAGGAAAUUGCCAAAGUGGCCUCCCUGAGGUAUUUCUACGUUUCUAUUCUUGGCAGACAAUGUGGUUUCAAUGGUUUUCUGCGACUGUUUCAGGAACAACAGUUCCUUGAUUUGGACUUGCUCCUGGAGAGAAAUGAAGGUGUGAGCGUUUACUUCAUACAUUUAUCAAAUGUGCUGCAUGCUUGGGAGCGCACAGAUACAUGGGCACGCGUAUGCCUACUGUGAUAUGAUAAAUAUAUGCAUGAGGGAAAUGGGGCUCCGGCUCGUUGUAUAGGUGGGGAGAUUUUAUGGAACAAGCCUAUUUAAUAUGUCAAAGGGAAAACAUUACUUAUGACGCCCUAUUAGCACAUCAUUCGUCUUACUGGGAAGACAGAAUGAAGAAUAUUUAACAAUUAAUAGAAAUCAUAGGAAGAAUUAUGAUUAAGUGCCAUCUGCUGGCUUCUGUGGGUUUUAUUUUUAUGCAGCGUUGAGCCUGUCCUCAUAAUUAUCGAACGUCUCUCUUGCGCUGAG
rnacentral:lncRNA from 1 species